rnacentral:siRNA from 1 species
GAGAGAACUCGCCCGGACUUUAGG